rnacentral:rRNA from 1 species
CAGUCGCCACGGUAAUACGAAGGGGGCUAGCGUUGCUCGGAAUUACUGGGCGUAAAGGGAGCGUAGGCGGACUGUUUAGUCAGAGGUGAAAGCCCAGGGCUCAACCUUGGAAUUGCCUUUGAUACUGGCAGUCUUGAGUACGGAAGAGGUAUGUGGAACUCCAAGUGUAGAGGUGAAAUUCGUAGAUAUUCGGAAGAACACCAGUGGCGAAGGCGACAUACUGGUCCGUUACUGACGCUGAGGCUCGAAAGCGUGGGGAGCAAACAGGAUUAGAUACCCCUGUAGUCCCUGUCUCUUAUAC